GCUUGUCUCAAAGAUUAAGCCAUGCAUGUCUAAGUAUAAACGAUUUUAUACGUGAAACUGCGAAUGGCUCAUUAUAUCAGUUAUAGUUUAUUUGAUGGUCCUUACUACUUGGAUAACCGUAGUAAUUCUAGAGCUAAUACAUGCGUCAAGACCCGACUUUUUGGAAGGGUUGUAUUUAUUAGAUAAAGAACCAAUCCAUGCUUGCAUGGUUUUGUGGUGAUUCAUAAUAACUGAUCGAAUCGCAUGCCUUCGGGCGGCGAUGUAUCAUUCAAGUUUCUGACCUAUCAGCUUCCGACGGUAGGGUAUUGGCCUACCGUGGCAAUGACGGGUAACGGGGAAUUAGGGUUCGAUUCCGGAGAGGGAGCCUGAGAAACGGCUACCACAUCCAAGGAAGGCAGCAGG
rnacentral:rRNA from 1 species